ensembl:rRNA 5S_rRNA 5S ribosomal RNA
UAAGGCCAGCCAUAUCACCCUGCAGUUCACAACUGGCAACCCACUGAAGCUAAGCAGGUGUGAGCCUGGUCAGUACCUGGAUGUGAGACCUCCUGGGAAAAACUAAGGUUGCUGCUGGAG